GAAUUGGCGCAGUUGGUUAGCGCGCCAGAUUGUGGUUCUGGAGAUCAAGGGUUCGAGUCCCUUAUUC
rnacentral:tRNA from 1 species